UUAUUCUGAACAAACUUUAUAAAAUAUAACAAUAUAGUUUCAAUCUCAGCAGGAUGUUUUUUUUCUGUUUCUGUUUUCACAGAUUUAAUGCACAGCAACAUGCUGCAUUCAUAAUUAAUAUCUAUUUUCUGCUUGUUGUUUAUUUUUGCCUAAAUUUUCACUUCAUGCCAACAAAGCAGGAAAAACCCACUGAUGGAUUUUGGUUGGUCAUUUGUCUCUAACAGCAGCUGACAGCCAGUUGCUGGGCAGAAACGGCUCUGAACCUGGUCAGCGACUAAACAGAAGGAGAAUCUGAUUUAUGGCAGGUUUUCAUUUCUACCAAUGAAGGAAGAGCUGGAGGUGAAAACCAGCAGGAAUCCCAGAAAACUUUAGAAAAACUGAAAACGUUGCAGCGAUUUCUGGGUCAAAGGAAGGAAAACAGUAGAAAACAACUGGAUCAUCAGGGUUCUUUGACCUUUCACCUUUUGGUUUGUUUCUGGGAAAACUUUGCACUUAGUCACACACACACACACACCCCCACACACACACACACACACCAACACACACACACACACACACACACACACCCACCUGGUUGUUUCAUCAGUGUUGCUGCUUCACUGCCUGUUUCUAUCAGUGGUGGGCCGUCAGGACCUGCAAGGCCUUCUCUGCUGGCCUAAAAAUAUCUGAAUCACAGACUAAUGUUAAUUAUAUUUUGUCCAUGAAUACGUAUUAAAUAAAUCCAAAUGGUCUGUCUGCUUCCUGUCAUUGUUAGCCCCCUGGCUGCUGCUUCCAGACGUGUAUUUUCAUUUUUAAGCAUUUAGCCAAUCACAUUUCAGCCGCUAUUUGUUGCCAGGGUCAAAGAAAUCUGCCUGGAGGCCUUCACAAUCAGUUCUGCAGCAUAAAAUAAAUGUUGGUCAAACUGUUGCUUCAACCAAUCAGAUUUUGAGUUGGCGACACCAAGGCGCUCUAGCAGGUGUACGGGUUACGUAUUCACACGCUCUGAUUGGAUAGUCAGAGUGUACUAGCCAUUAGCUUGGACGGCGAUAGAAAAGGACUUCUUCAUGGAACUGAAACACACAGAUAAUCUGCACAACAGAGUAACUGAAAUCUUCUUGAGGACAGAAAGGAGGAUGGAUUUUGUGUACAAAUAAUCAGGAUUUUUGCUGUAGAAGUUUUAUAGCCAUAAAAUAGUUAUUGAGGGUUGGAUUGAUGCAGACGGAGCAUUACUGAAGGCCUGGGAGUGAAAUGCACGGCCCACCACUGGUUUCUAAUCGCUGCUGCAGCGAAACGCCGGCGUCUGGAUGAAACCUCAACCUGGUGAAAUCCUGCAGCUCUCAGGUUCUACAGAAAUCUGUUCAGUUCUGGACACGACCUCAUUCCUGAGCCCAUCAGACUUUUAUUAUGUUUACAGCUGAGAUGAGGUGGCAGUAAAACUAAAGACAGAAACACUUUCCAGGCUCAGAGGAGAAACUGGAAACUGGUCCCAGUUGAUGAUGAAACGAUGCUGGAAGAAAAUCUGAGAGACGAUUUAAACUCUGAAUCAUUUUCAUUUCUCCUCACAGUGAAGAUCUGCUGGUGUUGGUUUAUAGAAUAAAAUUAAUAAACAUGUUUGGAGGGAGAAGUGAUAAAACCUGAGAAACUUCAAACAAACAGAAACUGGAAACAUGAAGCUGUUAACGUCACAUUAAUGAUUUAACCAGAGGAGAAAAGAUAAAACAUUCAGAAACAAGUUAAAUAUGUAAAUAAAGUUUUAAAUCACAGAAGAACCAGAUUUAUAACUAAUGAUCCGGAGGAUUAAUCUGAGUGUGUUCGAUCAAUAAUCAGUUAUCAGUGGGAACGCCCUCAGGCUGUAAACUCACAGUCUGGAUGAGGAUCCGGUUUGAUCCGAUCCGACCUGCAGAGGAGGAAUUCCAGCAGAACCUCUGAUCAGAACCUCUGAGUGAUUCUGACUCGGUUUCAGUUCUUCACGUUCAGGUCGGUUCUGUUGUUUCCAUUUCUGGUGUUUAGUCUCCAGAUUCGGACUCAGCUGCUCUUCAUUCUGCAGAUUAACUUCACCUGUUUCUCAGCCACAAUAAACCAGUUAUGAAAUAAACAUGAAGCAAUAAAUACAUAAUAAACAUCUGAAAACUUUUGCAUUACUGAGAGGACAGUGAUGUUGUAAUUUAAUUUCUUUAUUUUUGGUUCAUGUGUUUUUAAAUAAAGUCAAACCAAAAACCUUCUCAGAUAAACUAAACUCUGAAACAGUUUUUAUGUUUCUGAUUUUCAUCAGGUUGUUUAAAAUCAUGAUGUUUAACUCAGAUGGUUGAUAAAAAUAACUUCCUGCACAUUCAGUCACUAAACAUUUCCAGGUUUCAACAGAACAUGUUAGAGAUUAAAAAGUUACUUUUUAUUCUUUUUAUGAGACAUUAAAGUUUUAAAAUCAGUGAAUCUAAAAUGUUUUAAACGUUAAAUUUUUCACUACAGAGAUGAAGUUUGAUGCAAGCGCAGAAAAAAAAGAAAUGUUUAAAUUAGUUUAAAUUAUUUACAUUUUAUUCUGACUUUAUUAAUAUCACUGUGAUCAUAAAUGAUGUUUCUGAUGUUUGCAGCUGGUUUUGUGGUUCUGUUGGGUCCAGAAGGAGAGAAAAGUUCUGCUUCAGGGGAUCAAUGGAGUUAAAUUAAAUUAAAUUCACAGGAAGGUCAGAAAACUUUCCAGUGUCACAAUAAUCCAGAUUAUUGAUGGAAUUCUGGGUAAAAACCAGAGAAGGGAAACGGAUCCGUCUGCAUUUUAAUCCAGGUGUUGAAGAGUUUAAGGUUUAUGUCCAUAAUAAAUAUUUAUGAAGCUUUGAACCGUUAUAGUUUCAGGACGACCUUCAUCACAGAAAACAGAAAAACUUUUAAUCUGCAUUUCUGAGGUUUUUCUCAGCUUUAUGAUUUCACUCCUAGUUUCUUGUUUUUAUACAUUUUCUGUUUUAGUUUUAUUUCUGCCUAAUAAUUUUAUGCUGCAGUUUCUGAUUUCACUGUAAAAAUACAAACAAAAAAAACCUGUUAUAAUAAUAAAUGUUCUGAUCAGCAGGUUACAUAGAAACAGUUUUAAUUCACUUCAUCACAGGUUGAGUAUAGACUCAGAGCAGACAGAAGGUUUUCACUGAAUGAAUGAAUGAAUGAACGAACGAACGAACGAACGAACGAAUGAAUCACACGUUCAUCAGUCUCAGCGCUGCUGGUGUCUGAAUGAGUUGUGACACCUGGACCAGGUGUUUAACUGUCCAUGUACAGAUUGCUCUAGGCCGGCCUAGUCAAAGUCCAGGGCUGUUUUACUCUGUCAGGUCUUACUGUGGGAUGUUAUGAUUAAAUCCAGGUUUCUGAUUUAAGUGUCUCUUUCUUGUCCUCUGAUGGUUUCUGACAGUUUUCUGUUUUCAUUUUGAUUGAAACUUUUUAUUAAAAUAUGAUUGUUUUCGU